GAUAGACCCCUGAGGCGGUCCACUCGGUCGAUCAUCAAGAAUAAAAAGUAUUUAAAUUAAAUAUGCUGAUAUGUUUAUUCUGCAGUAUUUAUUCGUUAUUUUUUAGUUGUUUACUUAGUCAUAUUUGGUGUUAACAAAUCAUGGCUAGAAUUUCUCAUGAGUGCCGUUUGUGGCCAUUAAGUUAGGAAUAAGUUGUUGAGUCUUUUCCUAUUUAAAUUCUUUGUAGCUGCAGCAGUAAAGGGGAAAAAAAAAACCAGAAACUUCUUAUUUUUCUUAAUUAAUUUCUUAAGGCUUUGACUGGGACCUAUC
rnacentral:lncRNA from 1 species